CAGGGAGACAAUACUGAUUUUGAUGUCUGAAUUAUUUUUAUCUUUAGACCAAAGUCCUGUCACCUCAGGUCGAUCGGUACCUCAGUUUUAUGAUUCAAAAACUAGUUAAUUAAUUUUUGAAUUUUCAAUUCGGUUCCUAAACUUUGUCUAGGUCACACCCAACAAGGGUACUCCUGGGCCAUUAGCUCAGGUGGUUAGAGCGCACCCCUGAUAAGGGUGAGGUCCCUGGUUCAAGUCCAGGAUGGCCCAUUCGGUGUUGGGGGUAUAGCUCAGUUGGUAGAGCGCCUGCUUUGCAAGCAGGAUGUCAGCGGUUCGAGUCCGCUUACCUCCACUGAUCGACCUUUUGAACCCUGGAAAAGGAGAUUAUCUUUGUUGAUUGUGAUUUAGAUUUUAAGUGUUAACUGAAGGAACCUAGCUUCCUAUCAUUCCUAAAUUAACUAUUUAUUAGGUUGAUAGCAUGCUGGGCUCACUGCGAUUUCAAAAGAUUGCAGAGAUGUUCAGUAGAACCUUGACAACUGCACAGGUGAGUCUGGAAAAAUAAAGCAUCUCAUGGAUGCAUUGUUUUAGUUGGAUACUUUUUUCUGGAAUACAGAAGUUUUAGUAACCAUCUCUUUGACAAUGUUUAAUUCUUGAGCAAGAGCCGAGACUUUAUAACCUAGCUUGCUAAGUAUUAUUUAUUCUUGGUAAGUGAUAACAUUCAAUCAUUAAUUAAUUAAUGAUUGAAUGUUAAUAGUGUUAUGGAGAUUUAU
rnacentral:tRNA from 1 species